rnacentral:lncRNA from 1 species
AAAUUUUAUCCUCCUACAUUCUAAACUAUUUUUUUUUGUGUGUGUUCAUGCUUGCUUAGGAGGCUAUAACAAUAUUCCAGAUGAGAGAGGAACAGGAAAAAGAAAGAAAGAAGGAGAAGCAAAAAUAGAUUUCUGAUUGGAAGACAACAAGAAUAAGCCGAGAUUGAGGUACAGGAAAAUAGAACCAUGGUGUGCCUAGGAGACUGAAUGAACUACAUCAGUGAUCAGUCUGGGAAUUAAAAGCCAUGGGAAUUCUGGCAGAGUUCUAGAAUGGAGGGAGCAGAGCUGCAACAGAGCUGAAGAGAAGAGGACUUUGAUGAAGAAAAGUUAUUACAGCUUUCAAGACUACAGCCAAAGAGUCAAUCGCAAGAGGUAA